CAAAUGGAGAGUUUGAUCCUGGCUCAGGAUAAACGCUGGCGGUCUGCGUAACACAUGCAAGUCGAACGAAGCUUGAAAAAGCUGAGUGGCGGACGGGUGAGUAACGCGUGAGGAUCUGCCUUUAGGACUGGGACAACGAUUGGAAACGAUCGCUAAUUCCAGAUAUGCAGUGAGUGAAAUGGAGCAAUCCGCCUAAAGAUGAACUCGCGUCCGAUUAGCUAGUUGGUAGUGUAAUGGACUACCAAGGCGAUGAUCGGUAGCUGGUCUGAGAGGACAAUCAGCCACACUGGAACUGAGAUACGGUCCAGACUCCUACGGGAGGCAGCAGUGAGGAAUUUUCCGCAAUGGGCGAAAGCCUGACGGAGCAAGACCGCGUGCGGGAGGAAAGUUUUAGGACUGUAAACCGCUUUUGUCAGGGAAGAAUCAAUGACGGUACCUGACGAAUCAGCCUCGGCUAACUCUGUGCCAGCAGCCGCGGUAAGACAGAGGAGGCAAGCGUUAUCCGGAAUGAUUGGGCGUAAAGGGUGCGUAGGUGGUUUGGGAAGUCUAUGGUGAAAGCCCGAAGCUUAACUUCGGAACCGCCACAGAAACUCUCAAGCUGGAGCACAGUAGGGGCAACGGGAAUUCCCAAAGGAGCGGUGAAAUGCGUAGAUAUUGGGAAGAACACCGAUGGCGAAAGCACGUUGCUGGGCUGUGGCUGACACUGAGGCACGAAAGCUAGGGGAGCAAACAGGAUUAGAUACCCUGGUAGUCCUAGCCGUAAACGAUGAACACUCGACGUUGUGUGGAUCGACCCAUGCAGUGUCCAAGCUAACGCGAUAAGUGUUCCGCCUGGGGAGUACGUCCGCAAGGAUGAAACUCAAAGGAAUUGACGGGGACCCGCACAAGCGGUGGAGGAUGUGGUUUAAUUCGAUGCAACGCGAAGAACCUUACCAGGACUUGACAUGCCGCGAAUCUCUUGGAAACGAGAGAGUGCCUUCGGGAGCGCGGACACAGGUGGUGCAUGGCUGUCGUCAGCUCGUGUCGUGAGAUGUUGGGUUAAGUCCCGCAACGAGCGAAACCCUCGUGCUGAGUUGCCAUCAGGUAAUGCUGGGCACUCUCGGCAGACUGCCGCCGACAAGGUGGAGGAAGGCGAGGAUGACGUCAAGUCAUCAUGCCCCUUACGUCCUGGGCUACACACGUCCUACAAUGCUGCGGACAACGGGCAGCAAGCCGGCAACGGCAAGCAAAUCCCUUAAACCGUGGCUCAGUUCAGAUCGUAGGCUGCAACUCGCCUACGUGAAGACGGAAUCGCUAGUAAUCGCAGGUCAGCACUACUGCGGUGAAUACGUUCCCGGGUCUUGUACACACCGCCCGUCACACCAUGGAAGUUGGUCACGCCCGAAGUCGUUACUCCAACCCCUUGUGGGAGGAGGAUGCCGAAGGUGGGGUUGAUGACUGGGGUGAAGUCGUAACAAGGUAGCCGUACCGGAAGGUGCGGCUGGACAACCUCCUUA
rnacentral:rRNA from 1 species